GAUUCAAACGGUGCAGCUCAAGCACUAACAUUGGAAUGAUACCGAGAAGAGUAGCACGGUCUCUGGGUAAGGAUAACACGCAAAUUCAUGAAGCUUUCCACAUUUUU
ensembl:snRNA U6 U6 spliceosomal RNA